GCCCCCGCCCCCGUGUCGUGGCUUUAAGUCUGUGGCCUGAGGACUCUCUGUAUAUUCCCGUGGGGUAGGACCUAGGUUGUCCUGGGAGAAACAGCAGAGGGAUAAGAAGCAUUUCCGAGACGGGUCUCAGGGCCAGCGCGGCGUUUUCUGUUGCAGAACUGCGACUGUUGUUUUGGGCUCCAGGCUAGUGCUUGGUUGCUUGUGUUCAUUCCAGUUAACCAUUAGUACUCGAGAAGGUGGCACAGAACGCAUCUAUACCUUUAGAGGAUAAGAAAUUAAACCAGGCCGGGCGCGGUGGCUCAAGCCUGUAAUCCCAGCACUUUGGGAGGCCGAGGCGGGUGGAUCACGAGGUCAACAAAUUGAGACCAUCCUGGUCAACAUGGUGAAACCCCGUCUCUACUUAAAAAAAAAAAAAAAAAAAAAAAAAAAAUUAGCUGGUCAUGGUGGGGCGUGCCUGUAAUCCCAGCUACUCAGGAGGCUGAGGCAGGAGAAAUGCCUGAACCCAGGAGGCGGAGGUUGCGGUGAGAUCGCGCCAUUGCACUCCAGCCUGGGUAACGAGCGAAACUCCGUCUCAAAAAAAAAAAAAAGAAAAGAAAGAAAAAGAAAUUAAACUAAACCGGUACAUAUAUUAAUAUAUAUAAUUUUUUUUAUAGUUUUGUUUUUGUAUCUUGAGACGGAGUCUCACUCUGUCGCCCAGGCUAGAGUGCAGUAGCACCAUCUCGGCUCACUGCCAGCCUCUGCCUCCUGGGUUCAAAUUGUUCUUCUGUCUCAGCCUUCCGAGUGGCUAAGAUUACAGAUGUGUGCCGUGACACCUGGGUAAUUUUUGUAUUUUUAGUAGAGACGGGGUUUCACCAUGUUGGUCAGGCUGGUCUCGAACUCCUGACCUCGUGAUCCAGCCACCUCGGCCUCCCAAAGUGCUGGAAUUACAGGCGUGAGCCACUGUGCCCGUCCAGGAAAGUAUAUUGAAAUGUAAGUAGUGAGGUGCUAUAUAUAUAUUUCAGAGGAAGGGGAAAUUAUGCAUGGACUAGAGUACUAACAAAAGGCUCUAAAGCCUGGGAUAUGCUCAGGGCCUUUCCAUAACAGAAAAUGAAAAGGCACCUAAAUUUGAGACUGGAUUUGAGGAAAGGCACAGUUCGGCUGGAGUAGAAAGCUUGUGUUUACCACAGUGGAAAGUAAAUUUUCAUAAAUGCAGACUAGCUACAGGAUGAGGACAGAAUCCAGCUUUUAAAUCAGUAUAAUCCCUCUUCUUUUACAUUUGAAAAUCUCUGCAGUGAUAUGUCCGUGUUAUCCCCAGCACCAUACAAAGGACAUAUAAGGGCCAAUACAGUGGGAAUGUUUAUUAAUGAUAUUAAUGGUGAUGCUUCCUCUUUACCCUCUGUAGGUUCACUGAAAAUCACCGACAGGAGUCAGUUAAUAGGAGAAAAGGCAUAGACAUUGAUUUGAUCAUCGUUUUAUGUGACACAGGAGCCUUCAGAAUGAAGACCCAAAGAUAACAAGGGAAAUUGUGGAUUUUUAUGCUUAGGUUCAACAAAGCAUGCACCGCCAGAUAGAAAAAUGAUUGGACAAAAAGGGUACACUCUAAUGAGAAUACACAGGAAACCCAGCAAGGCAUCUGUCUAGAUUAUUCUGGGGCCUCUGCGCAGCAUUCCUUCCUUCUGGGUAUGAGGAAAUUUUAAUGUUUAAACAAGCAUUCCAAGUUGGGGUGAGGGAAGCAAGAGAAACAGAAACGAAGAAACGUGGCUUGAAUUAGUGAAAUAUGAUUAUUGGAGACAUGGACUUUGUUUUGAAUACCACUGUUUAUGUAACACCUAGCACAGUAUCACCGUAAAGAUAUAAAAUGAUAUGAGACAUGAAACAGUAAAAUAAGCCAGAAUAAGAAAAACUCAGGAAUGAAGUAACAGAAUUUGGGAAAGUGUUAGAAAUAAAAGUAAAGUGGACUGAAAUACAAGGAAUAAAAGAAUAAGAAAAUACAAUAGUGUCUGAAGAGAACUACAAUUUGAAAAUAAUUUUUUUAUCAAAAAAAUUUAAACAUAGAAAUAACUUGAGAGAAAUGAUAAAUAUUGAAAAUAGGCAAAGAAGAUCCAACAUAUAGGGGUCCUUGAUAAAGAAAACUGAAGACAGGUAAUAGAACUAAUUAUAACACAUUAUAAUUCAAAAAAAUUUUCUGAAAUAUAUGUAUCUCCUAACAUUACACACACACACACACACACACACACACACACACAAACACGCAGAGUCAUGAAUCACUUAACAACGGGGAUAUGUUCUGAGAACUGCAUCAUUAGGCUACUUUGUCCUUAUGGGAACACCAUAGAGUGUACUUACAUACACCUAUAUGGUACAGCCUACUGUACACCUAAGCUAUAUGGUGUAGCCUAUUGCUCCCAGACUACAAACCUGUACAGCAUAUUAAUGUGCUGAUUACUACAGGCAAUUGUAACACAAUGGUACUUGUACAUCUAAAUAUAUCAAAACAUAGAAAAUACAGUAUGAAGGAUUAAAAAUAAUACCUUUGUAGGGCACUUGCCGUAAAUGGAGCUUGCAGGACAGGAAGUUGCUGUGGGUGAGUCACUGAGUGGGUGGUGAGUGAAAGGACAUCACUGCACACUACUGGAGAUUUGAUAAAAACUGUACACUAGCCCGCAUAGCCAAGUCAAUUCUAAGCAAAAAGAACAAAGCCGGAGGCAUCAUACUACCUGACUACAAACUACACUACAAGGCUACAGUAAUCAAAACACAUGGUACCGGUACCAAAACAGAGAUACAGACCAAUGGAACAGAACAGAGGCCUCAGAGGUAACGCCACACAUCUACAACCAUCUGAUCUUUGACAAACCUCACAGAAACAAGCAAUGGGGAAAGGAUUCCCUGUUUAAUAAAUGGUGUUGGGAAAACUGGCUAGCCAUGUGCAGAAAGCAGAAACUGGACCCCUUCCUGACACCUUACACUAAAAUUAACUCCAGAUGGAUUAAAGACUUAAACAUAAGCUCUAACACCAUAAAAAUCCUAGAAGAAAAUCUAGGCAAAACCAUUCAGGACACAGGCACAGGCAAGGACUUCAUGACUAAAAUACCAAAAGCAUUGGCAACAAAGCCAAAAUAGACAAAUGGGACCUAAUUAAACUCCAGAGCUUCUGCACAGCAAAAGAAACAGUAAUUAGAGUGAAUCAGCAACCAACAGAAUGGGAAAAAAAUUUUGCAAUCUACCCAUCUGACAAAGGGCUAAUAUCCAGAAUCUACAAAGAAGUAAAACAGAUUUACAAGAAAAAAGCCCAUUGAAAGGUGGUUGAAGGAUAUGAACAGACACUAUACAAAAGAAGACAUACAUGAGGCCAAAAAACAUAUGAAAAAAUGCUCAUCAUUACUGGGCUGGGCUCGAUGGCUCACACCUAUAAUCCCAGCACUUUGGGAGACUGAGGUGGGUAGAUCACAAGGUCAGAAUAUCAAGACCAUCCUGGCUUAUAUGGUGAAACCCUGUCUCUACUAAAAAUACAAAAAAAUAGCCAGGCGUGGUGGCACAUGCCUGUAAUCCCAGCUACUCGGGAGGCUGAGGCAGGAAGACUGCUUGAACCUGGGAUACCCAGGUUGCAGUGAGCUGAUAUCGUGCCACUGCACUCCAGCCUGGGGGACAGAGCAAGUCUUCAUCUUGGGGGAAAAAAUUGUUUUCUUUCUUCCAUAAUAAAUUACCUUUAGCUUAUUGAAACUUUUUUACUUUAUAAACGUUAUUAUUAUGAUUAUUUUAGAUGAAGUCUCGCUCUGUUGCCCAGGCUGUAGUACAGUGGCACAAUCUCAGCUCACUGCAACCUCCACCUCCUGGGUUCAAGCUAUUCUCCUGCUUCAGCCUCCUGAGUAGCUGAAGCAGGGAUUACAGGUGAGUGCCACCACACCCGGCUAAUUUUUGUGUUUUUAGUAGAGAUGGGGUUUCACCAUGUUGGUCAGGCUGGUCUUGUACUCCUGACUUCAUGAUCUGUCCUCAGCUUACCAGAGUUCUGGGGUUACAGGGGUGAGCCACCACGUUUUUGAUUUUUUAAAAACUGUUGACUCUUUUGUAAUAACAGUUGGCUUAAAACACAAACACAUUGAACAACUGUACAAAAAUAUUUUCUUUAUAUUCAUUUCCUGUAAGCUUUUUAUUUGAAAAAAUUUUUUAAAAUAAAUGUUGUUUUUUACUUUUUAAGCUUUUUUGUUAAAAAUGAAGACACAAAGAUACGCAUUUGCCUAAGACUGCACAGGGUCAGGAUCAUCAAAAUAUCACCAGGUGAAUGCGCCACUGUACUCCAGUCUGGGCGACAGAGCAAGACCCUGUCUCAAAAUAAAAUGCAAUAAAGAUGUCAUUAGGCAAUAGGACUUUUUCAGCUCUGUCAUAAUCUUGUGGGAUAACAGUUGUAUGUGACAUUCAUUGUUGACCAAAAUGUCCUAUGCAGCACGUGACUAUAUACAUAUAUCUAUAUAUAUGCAUAUAGUCAUGUGUGUGUAUGUGUGUGUGUGUAUGUGUGUGUGUGUGUUCUUAGGUGCACAGUAUGAAAUGCCAAGUCCCACUAAAAGAAACAAGGGAUUCUAAGUCUAGAGCAUGUGUGGAAUGAGCGCAAAAUAUCUUACCAUACUAGAGAGCAGAGAAACUACUAAAGACUUCUGGAGUCAUGUCCAAAGUACCCAGCCAACUAGAAGGGGCUCCUACUGGCCCUGGAUGGGACAAUUGGAGUUUCAGUAAAGGUAAUAAUUAGAAUGGACUGAAACCCAUCAUCUAUGUUUAAAUACUUAAAUUCAUAAUAAUGUGUAGUUUUACCAAAGGUUUUAAACCUGAGUGUGCUCAAACUUUUUAUUUAUUUAUUUUUAUUAUUUUUUUUUUGAGAUGGCGUCCCACUCUGUAGCCCAGGCUGGAGUGCAAUGGCGCAACCUCGGCUCCCUGCAACCUCCAUCUCCUGGGUUUAAGCAGUUCUCUUGCCUCAGCCUCCGGAGUGGCUGAGAUUAUAGGCGACCACCACAACGCCCAGCUAAUUUUUUUGUAUUUUUAGUAGAGGCGUGGUAUCUCCAUGUUGGCCAGACCGAUCUGCAACUCCUGACCUCAGGUGAUCCACCUGCCUCACCCUCCCAAAGUGCUGGGAUUACAGGCGUGAGCCACCUCGCCUGGCCAAGCUUCUUGAUCCAACUGCCAAUUUACAGAAAUAAAGGACAAAGGAUCACAUUGAAAUACACUAUGCGUGUGCAAUCUGCAAAAUCCAACCCAUGGGGAACGCUGCAAAGCAAACAACUGGGUUAUUCAAUAUAUAUCUUGUAAGUAGGGGGGAAGAAAUAGAACCUAUAACUUACAGGAGGCAGAAAAUACAUCAAAUUAAUGAGAAAGUCUAUAAUGUCUAGGGAUAUACUUAAAUGCAAAAAAGGUGGUAAUUUAAAAAUUCAAUGUAGUGCUGAGGGUAAAAGGAGUUUGUGACUGGGAUGGAGCACAUGGACAGGCUUCUGGUGUGGCUUACAAAGUUCUAUUUCUUGAUUUAGGAAAUGAUUACGAAGAUGUUCACCUUAUAAUAAACCAUUAAGAUGUUCAAGAAACGGACAGAAAUGGAGCGUUUUCUACUCAUAUACCCUCACUCUAAACUCUGAGAGAUAUAUACACUUCAUAAGAAGGAAAUGCAACUCAGAAGCAUGAAGUGAGAUGUGAAAAUAAGUGACUUUAUGAAAAUUAGACCCUGCAACACUAAUUUUUGAGUUGCAACUUUGAGAAAAAUAGUCUGUAAAAGCAUGAUGAAUUGACAACAUGUACUUGUCUCCCUUCCAAAAUACUUAUUGAAAUAAAACAAAGAAAGUUACAAACCUACAAGGUAGAUGUAUUUUUGCAAGAUACAAAGUCCUUGAUGAAGGAGGAGAGGUUCAGAACUUGGACAUAGAUGGUACUUUGGAGAGUGGAAGUAAUGCACUGUGCCUAAAUGAAGGAGAUUAAGUGGAAGUUUGUAUGCUGAAUACCCCCGCCCUGCUCUUGGAAUAACUCCUAAGCAGAUACUGGAGUAUUCUUUCAAGAGACUCAGUGGUCCCAGGGAAUGCCUUCUAUAUAUGGUGCUAUCUGGAGGUCCAGAAAUAAAUGGUUUGUGUUGCCAGUUUAUCACUCUACCCUGGAUCCUACCAGCAACCAGCAGAUAAAAAAAUAACACUGUAGAGGCAAGAAAAGAAGUCUUAACAACAAAAAUAAAAUUAUAAAUUAUGAUAUGUUUAAAUUUUGGAGAAUAUUAAACAUUUGAUAAAUUUCUAAAAAUAGUUGGAUAGAUAUACAGAGAACCAAGUAUUUUAAAAAAGAAAGGCAAUCACUAACACCAGGAAAAGCAAAAAACAAAACAAAACAAAACUAAACUAAAAAAACCCAAAACAACAAGCCAAGUAAGGAAAGAAAACAGCUGUAAAUUCAUUGGCUCAUCAUUGAAUAAUAUUUACUGAGGGAAUCUGUGGGAAUUGCUCCCGUGUGAGGCCCCUGGGAGAUGGGCCUUGCCAUACAGUGAGCUUGAGCCUGGACACAGAUCCCCGGUUGGGGGAGUCGAGCUGAGGGAAAGCAGGAACUGAGAGAGGGACUAUGCUAUUCUAAAUAGUUAACAGACAUUACUUUAUGAAUAUGAGGACUUGGGAGUCAAUGUGUCCACUUUUGGCUUCUUAUGGUUUAUUGCUUGAUUGUGUUCAUUUUGGACCCUUGUUACCUUCAUUGUAAAAUAUUAACUUAAGUAUUUACACUUGGUAACUUACCGUAACUUACUGGGUGUAACUGUAACUUACUUCCCAUAGCUUAUUGGGCAUGACUGUAACUUACUUACAUUGAUCUAUUGGGCAUAACCUAAUUACUGAAAGUAACCUACUUACUGGGCGUAACCUACUUAAUGGGAUUAACUUACUUAAUACUUAGUGGGCGUAACUUGCUUACUGUAACUUAAGUACGUUGAUCUGGUGUAAACAACUUUGACUUCAGAAAAGUAUAUAAGGAAACAUAUUGCAAAAAUAAAAUGGCUGCUUGGACAUAGCCUAAGCCAGCCCUCCAGACUCCGCUUUUCUAUUUUCUUUCACUUCUGUGCACUCUCUCCCUCAGGUUGAACGAGACAUCUACAUUGGCGGUCUUGGGGACUCCUCCAGACUGUCCUCACUCUUGAUCAGCUGUAUGCAAACAGCCAUGUUGAGAACUGCCUACAGGAGGGGCCACGAGGCAAGGGCUUGAAAGUGGCUUCCAGGAGCUAAGAGUGAUCACAGCCACCAUCUAGCAAGAAAGCAGAGACCCUAGUCCUACAAUCUCAAGGGACUGAAUUUUACUAACAACCUAAAUGAGCGUGGAAGAGGCUGCUAAACCCUAGAUGAGCUAGAUGAGAACAUCUGGCAUCUCGAUUUAAUUCCAGUUUUGUGAGAUCCUGAUAGUAACCAAUACUUUUAUAAGCAUGCAACUACAUUGUGCUCAGACUUCUGACCCACAGAAACUAUGAAAUAAUAAGUAAAUGUUGCAAGCUGCUACCUUUGUAGUAUUGUGUUAUGUAGCAAGAGAAAACAAAUACAAACAUAUAAAGACUUCCAGGAGUUCUAUUUUUGGUGUUAAUUAGAUCCUUCAUUUUUAUAAAAUAACCUCUAUCG